UUGAACGCACCUUGCGCUCUAUGGCAAUCCGUAGAGCAUGCCUGUUUGAGUGCCAUG
rnacentral:rRNA from 1 species